rnacentral:rRNA from 1 species
AUUGAACGCUGACGGCAGGCCUAACACAUGCACGUCGAGCGGAGCGGCGGACGGGUGCGUAAUGCCUAGGCAUCUGCCUGGUAGUGGGGGAUAGCGUCCGGUAACGGGCGCUAAUACCGCAUACUCGCAGAUGAGGCUCGGUCGGAUUAGCGAGUUGGUGGGGUAAAGGCCUACCAAGGCGACGCUCCGUACCUGGUCUGAGAGGAUGAUCAGUCACACUGGAACUGAGACACGGUCCAGACUCCUACGGGAGGCAGCAGUGGGGAAUAUUGGACAAUGGGCGAAAGCCUGAUCCAGCCAUGCCGCGUGUGUGAAGAAGGUCUUCGGAUUGUAAAGCACUUUAAGUUGGGAGGCGUUACCAACAGAAUAAGCACCGGCUAACUUCGUGCCAGCCGCCGCGGUAAUUC